CAGCCGCCGCGGUAACACGGAGGGCGCGAGCGUUACCCGGAUUUACUGGGCGUAAAGGGCGUGUAGGCGGCCUGGGGCGUCCCAUGUGAAAGGCCACGGCUCAACCGUGGAGGAGCGUGGGAUACGCUCAGGCUAGAGGGUGGGAGAGGGUGGUGGAAUUCCCGGAGUAGUGGUGAAAUGCGCAGAUACCGGGAGGAACGCCGAUGGCGAAGGCAGCCACCUGGUCCACUUCUGACGCUGAGGCGCGAAAGCGUGGGGAGCAAACCGGAUUAGAUACCCCUGUAGUCCCUGUCUCUUAUAU
rnacentral:rRNA from 1 species